AGUGAACGCUGGCGGUAGGCCUAACACAUGCAAGUCGAACGGCAGCACAGUAAGUGCUUGCUCUUACGGGUGGCGAGUGGCGGACGGGUGAGGAAUAUAUCGUAAUCUACUUUUUCGUGGGGGAUAACGUAGGGAAACUUACGCUAAUACCGUAUACGACCUACGGUUGAAAGCAGGGGAUCUUCGGACCUUGCGCGAUUGAAUGAGCCGAUGUCGGAUUAGCUAGUUGGCGGGGUAAAGGCCCACCAAGACGACGAUCCGUAGCUGGUCUGAGAGGAUGAUCAGCCACACUGGAACGGGGACACGGUCCAGACUCCUACGGGAGGCAGCAGUGGGGAAUAUUGGACAAGGGGCGAAAGCCUGAUCCAGCCAUACCGCGUGGGGAAGGAAGGCCUUCGGGUUGUAAAGCCCUUUUGUUGGGAAAGAAAAGCGGCAGGUUAAUACCCCGCUGUUCUGACGGUACCCAAAGAAUAAGCACCGGCUAACUUCGUG
rnacentral:rRNA from 1 species